AACGAACGCUGGCGGCGCGUUUUAAGCAUGCAAGUCUGAGGGGGUUGCUGUAGUAAUACAGUGAUUAACUGGCGCACGGGUGAGUAACACGUGAGAAUCUACCUUGAGAUGGGGGAUAGCUCGUGGAAACACGGGGUAAUACCGCAUAUGUGCAGCACCACUUUUACUUUUAAGUAGUAAAUAAAAAAUACUGAUUUAAGGGUAAAAGCGGUGUUGCAUGAAAGCUACUUUUGUAGCGUCACAAGAUGAGCUUGCGGUCCAUUAGCUAGUUGGCAGGGUAAGAGCCUACCAAGGCGACGAUGGAUAGCCGGCCUGAGAGGGUGUACGGCCACAUUGGAACUGAGACACGGUCCAGACUUCUACGGGAGGCAGCAGCUAAGAAUAUUCCGCAAUGGGAGAUAUCCUGACGGAGCGACGCCGCGUGGACGAAGAAGGCAGAAAUGUUGUAAAGUCCUUUUAUACGGGAAGAAUAAGAUUAUUGAGAGAAACGGUAAUUGAUGACGGUACCGUAUGAAUAAGCCACGGCUAACUACGUGCCAGCAGCCGCGGUAAUACGUAGGUGGCAAGCGUUGUUCGGAUUUAUUGGGCGUAAAGGGCAUGUAGGUGGUUGGAUAAGUGUGAAUUGAAAGACCGGAGCUUAACUCCGAGUUUGGUUUGCAAACUAUCCGACUAGAGUGCAGAAGGGGAAACUGGAAUUCCGCGUGUAGGGGUGAAAUCUGUAGAUAUGCGGAAGAAUACCUGUGGCGAAGGCGAGUUUCUGGUCUGUAACUGACGCUGAAAUGCGAAAGUGUGGGGAGCAAACAGGAUUAGAUACCCUGGUAGUCCACACUGUAAACGUUGUACACUAGGUGUCAUGGGUAUCGACCCCCGUGGUGCCGUAGCUAACGCGUUAAGUGUACCGCCUGGGGAGUAUGCUCGCAAGGGUGAAACUCAAAGGAAUUGACGGGGGCCCGCACAAGCGGUGGAGCAUGUGGUUUAAUUCGAUGGUACGCGAAAAACCUUACCAGGGUUUGACAUAGAUAUGACUGAUACAGAGAUGUGUCGUUCACUUCGGUGACAUAUUUACAGGUGCUGCAUGGCUGUCGUCAGCUCGUGUUGUGAGAUGUUGGGUUAAGUCCCGCAACGAGCGCAACCCCUACUGUUAGUUGCCAUCUGGUUAUGCAGGGCACUCUAACGGAACCGCCGGUGACAGAUCGGAGGAAGGUGGGGAUGACGUCAAGUCCUCAUGGCCCUUAUAUCCUGGGCUACACACGUGCUACAAUGGGCUGUACAGAGGGUAGCAAUCCCGCGAGGGGGAGCCAAUCCCAAAAAGCAGUCCGUAGUUCAGAUUGGAGUCUGCAACUCGACUCCAUGAAGUCGGAAUCGCUAGUAAUCACAGAUCAGCACGCUGUGGUGAAUACGUUCCCGGGCCUUGUACACACCGCCCGUCACACCACCCGAGUUGAGGACACCCGAAGUUAUUACCCUAACCGCAAGGAGGGGGGUACCUAAGGUGUGCUUAGUGAGGGGGGUG
rnacentral:rRNA from 1 species